rnacentral:siRNA from 1 species
CAUCAAAUGCUUCAAGCCAAGGGA